rnacentral:ncRNA from 1 species
AAAAAUCAGCGGGGAAAGAAGACCCUGUUGAGCUUGACUCUAGUCUGACUCUGUGAAGAGACAUGAGAGGUGUAGCAUAAGUGGGAGGCCGUGAACCCUCGCGGUUGUGUCGUGCCGUCAGUGAAAUACCACUACUUUCAUCGUUUCUUUACUUACUCGGUGAAGCGGAAAGCGCACCAUGAGUGUCCACGCUUCUAGCACUAAGUGCAAGGCCCUUUCGUUGGCCCGCACGAUCUGUUCCGAGGACAGUGUCAGGCGGGGAGUUUGACUGCGGCGGUACAUCUGUCAAAUGGUAACGCAGGUGUCCUAAGGCGAGCUCAGCGAGACAGAAACCUCGCGUAGAGCAAAAGGGCAAAUGCUUGCUGAUCUGAUUUUCAGUACGAUU